UGGUGCAUUAGUGAAUUCCUAAGGAUG
rnacentral:piRNA from 1 species